rnacentral:rRNA from 1 species
AGCGAACGCUGGCGGCAUACUUAACACAUGCAAGUCGCACGGGCAGCAAUGUCAGUGGCGGACGGGUGAGUAACGCGUAGGAACGUGUCCUGAGGUGGGGGACAACCCCGGGAAACUGGGGCUAAUACCGCAUAUGGGCUGAGGCCCAAAGCCGAGAGGCGCCUUUGGAGCGGCCUGCGUCCGAUUAGGUAGUUGGUGGGGUAAAGGCCUACCAAGCCUGCGAUCGGUAGCUGGUCUGAGAGGACGACCAGCCACACUGGGACUGAGACACGGCCCAGACUCCUACGGGAAGCAGCAGUGGGGAAUAUUGGACAAUGGGCGAAAGCCUGAUCCAGCAAUGCCGCGUGGGUGAAGAAGGUCUUCGGAUCGUAAAGCCCUUUCGACGGGGACGAUGAUGACGGUACCCGUAGAAGAAGCCCCGGCUAACUUCGUG